UACGGAGGGUGCAAGCGUUAAUCGGAAUUACUGGGCGUAAAGCGUGCGCAGGCGGUUGCGUAAGUCAGAUGUGAAAGCCCCGGGCUCAACCUGGGAAUUGCAUUUGAGACUGCGUAGCUAGGGUGCGGAAGAGGGAAGCGGAAUUUCCGGUGUAGCGGUGAAAUGCGUAGAUAUCGGAAGGAACACCAGUGGCGAAAGCGGCUUCCUGGUCCAGCACCGACGUUCAGGCACGAAAGCGUGGGGAGCAAACAGG
rnacentral:rRNA from 1 species